rnacentral:rRNA from 1 species
CCUUUGACGUUAGCGGCGGACGGGUGAGUAACACGUGGGUAACCUACCUAUAAGACUGGGAUAACUUCGGGAAACCGGAGCUAUACCGGAUAAUAUUUCGAACCGCAUGGUUCGAUAGUGAAAGAUGGUUUUGCUAUCACUUAUAGAUGGACCCGCGCCGUAUUAGCUAGUUGGUAAGGUAACGGCUUACCAAGGCGACGAUACGUAGCCGACCUGAGAGGGNGAUCGGCCACACUGGAACUGAGACACGGUCCAGACUCCUACGGGAGGCAGCAGC